AAGAGAAUUCUGUGAUACUGAAGUGAUGUAGCAACCAGUUAACCUUAAGUUCCAAAUGGAGACCAGAAUAUUAACUUUCAAGUUACACAAUUACUAGCAAAGAGUGACAAGGCCAUAGCUAAGAAAACACCCAUUCCAAAUAUAUGGAUUAGGAGGCCAAAUCUUAAGAAAAGAAUCUCCAAAUGAUACAUAUUUUGAAAGAUAAGCCUAGGAAUUACAAACUCCAUACAAUCAAUGAUACUAUGUGGAUAUGUCUAUUUGAAACCUUGCCAUCAAGUGUAGCUGUCUCUCAAGUGUCCCACGCAAAGUGCCCGUUGACUCACCUGGACUGACUCUAGCUCUCAGUUUCUUUUACAAAAAUCUAUAGAAGGUUAGCAAAUGGAGUCUGAACAUGGAAGAGGAAAGGUCAUGAACUUCAAAGCAUGAAAAGAAGAUAGAGAAAGAGAAGACCAAGUGAAGAAAAAUGAAAGAAAGAGAAUGGCAGGAAACAGACCUAGGAAGAAGUUAUCUAUCAUGGCGGUCAUCAUACUUUACCUCUGCCCUCCGUGCCUUGCAAUGGGGAAUGGCUGCAGAGAGUAAAAAUGUAUCAUGUGAGUCACAGAGAGUUUGUCUGGGAAGAGUUAUGAAACCAACCCCAUAUUGUUUCUUUUCCUUUUUAGUAGAGGAAAUAGCAUGGGCCUUCGGCAUGUGUUCAAAGGUACAUCCUGGUUCUCACAUGUGUUUAUCUCAGGGUAACCUAUAAGUAUUCUUUCAGAAAUAUUGUAAAUCUUUCUUAAGAAAGAG
rnacentral:lncRNA from 1 species